rnacentral:rRNA from 1 species
GACGAACGCUGGCGGCGUGCCUAAUACAUGCAAGUCGAACGCAGUGGGGACGGGUGAGUAACACGUGGGUAACCUCCCAUCAGAGGGGAUAACACUUGGAAACAGGUGCUAAACCGAUACUGAUGGAUGGACCCGCGGUGCAUUAGCUAGUUGGUGAGGUAACGGCUCACCAAGGCCACGCUGCAUAGCCUGCCUGAAAGGGUGGUGGGCCAAACUGGGACUGAGACACGUCCCAGACUCCUACGGGGGGCAGCAGUAGGGAUGCUUCGGCAAUGGACGAAAGUCUGGCCGGGCAACGCCGCGUGAGGGAAGAAGGUUUUCGGAUCGUAAAACUCUGUUGUUAGAGAAGCGGUAUCUAACCAGAAAGCCACGGCUAACUACGUGCCAGCAGCCGCGGUAAUUC